rnacentral:rRNA from 1 species
GCAAGUCGAGCGAGCGGAACCAACAGAUUUACUUCGGUAAUGACGUUGGGAAAGCGAGCGGCGGAUGGGUGAGUAACACGUGGGGAACCUGCCCCUAAGUCUGGGAUACCAUUUGGAAACAGGUGCUAAUACCGGAUAAUAAAGCAGAUCGCAUGAUCAGCUUUUGAAAGGCGGCGUAAGCUGUCGCUAAGGGAUGGCCCCGCGGUGCAUUAGCUAGUUGGUAAGGUAACGGCUUACCAAGGCGACGAUGCAUAGCCGAGUUGAGAGACUGAUCGGCCACAUUGGGACUGAGACACGGCCCAAACUCCUACGGGAGGCAGCAGUAGGGAAUCUUCCACAAUGGACGCAAGUCUGAUGGAGCAACGCCGCGUGAGUGAAGAAGGUUUUCGGAUCGUAAAGCUCUGUUGUUGGUGAAGAAGGAUAGAGGUAGUAACUGGCCUUUAUUUGACGGUAAUCAACCAGAAAGUCACGGCUAACUAC